rnacentral:tRNA from 1 species
UGGCUCAGAUGGUAAAGCAUCUGCCUGCCAAGCAGGAGACCCGGGUUUGAUCCCUGG